rnacentral:rRNA from 1 species
UACGUAGGGGGCAAGCGUUAUCCGGAUUUACUGGGUGUAAAGGGGGCGCAGACGGCGCGGCAAGUCCGGAGUGAAAUCCCAGGGCCCAACCCUGGGGCUGCUCUGGAGACUGCCGGGCUGGAGUGCUGGAGGGGCAGGCGGAAUUCCUAGUGUAGCGGUGAAAUGCGUAGAUAUUAGGAGGAACACCGGUGGCGAAGGCGGCCUGCUGGACAGCGACUGACGUUGAGGCCCGAAAGCGUGGGGAGCAAACAGG